UUAGGGGUGGGCGCGUGCCGUUAACGGUCGGGUCCCUGAGGCGAGGGGGGUCCCCGAGCCGCAGCAACGCUCCUGUCCGGGCCUCGUGUGCGCGCUGCGAAGCCACUGCGGUCCCGUCAUGGUGUGCUGCCUCCCCUGCCCUCCUGCCCCGCUCGCUGAGGCAGCGGGGAAGGCCCAGAUACCGAGUUUUCCAACCCUACCUUAACAGAAUUUUUUUUGACUUCCAUAAGCUGUUAAAGAUUUGGGGUUUGAUUUUGGCUUGAAAAGCAGUCAGGUCCUGCAAUAAUGUGAUACAAACCAAAAUGGUACCGCUCAUAAGAGAUGCACCAAAUGAGCUCAUGACAUGGCAGAGGAAAUUCUUACUCUGCUGUGGUGUGACAAAUAUCAGCCAGAAGUGCACAAUUCCCAAAUUGCUAUCUAUAUCCCUGCCUGAGAACAGAUGGAGGGAAGCCUUUGGCUGAUACAAACUUGGCUCAGCCCACCCUAUUUACUGAUGGAGUUUCCAUGAGCAUAGAAAUUAGAGCUACCGGUUGCAGUCACUUGAGAGCCGCAGCCAGCUGACUCAGCUUACAUGGUGGAAAAUCUGGCAGAGACGUCUGUCCUUACCUGAGCAGGUGCCUGUGUUCGUACACGUGCAGGUGCCAAGGGGCAGGCAGACCUGCAGGCAGUGGAUAUUCCCCCUUUGGAAGUCACCCAAGGUCAGUGGUGUAGCAGUUCUUUGCAGGGGAGGCAGCAGCUCAUGUUAACUGCUGAUAGCCAAAAGAUUGAGGUGUUUUUCCCUACAAAGAUGCAGGCUGAGGAUGUGUUAAAUUACUGCAAGAUGGAAGUAGGUGGAGGAGAGGGUUCAAAGAUGGCAAUAUAGAAGAUAUUUUUAAAUGCUUUCAAGGAGGCCAGUGCAUACAGUGUGUCCACUGAUUGCCAGCUAGGCACUUUGCCUCUGAACAAUCAGGAGGGCUGUCAAUUUAACAGUAAUCUUUGUAAAAUGCUAAUUAGGAACCAAACAAUUCCCAUUAGGGAACUGGAGAUCCAUCUGCACUCGAGAAUGAAGCUGCCUAUGCCAUCCACAGCAAGACUUGUACGUUUUGCUUUGGUAUCUGGGAAUCCAGCAACAGAGAGGCUUAGUCAUAUGACAGGGUUAUUUGCAUCAUUAUGCUGUCAGAUUCCCAGAGGAGUUUUCACAAUGCACUGUAAGAGGAAGGGUUUAAACAAGUAGAACUAAAGCAAAAACAAAGCACUGUGCUUCCUUUGCAUGUCUCCUUUUACUGCCUGCACGUGGUAUUCAGAGGGGAGGAGGGUGCAAGGCAAUACCAUACAGAACUUUAGGCUAAUAAAACACACCCUGGAGAGCACACAAAAGCGAGGGGUUGGGAUAUCGCUACAAAAUGGCUACUCCAUAGAAACAAGCUAAGAAAACUGAAACCCUGCAGCUCAGCCUUGCAGAGUUCUGAUGUUCCAGGCUUGUGAUGUACAAGGUUACACUGUGAGACCUCUGGUGAUUCGUGAUGCUCAUAUUUGGAGGCUCUCAGUUUAGUUCACGUCUGUCCUGAAUUUCACUGCCAGGAACAGCACACAGCGUGCUCUCAGUUGUGGCCUUACCACUGCCAGAACAUCUGCUAAACGUUUCUGAAUCUGAGCUUGUUGGGAUAGGGCCCAUUACUUUUACAUAUUUAUGAACUGUGUGGUACACUGGCAUUCAUUCAGCAAAGACGGCUUCCCGAGGCUCAUGCACGAAUGACAUAAACCGGUACUGGCUCAUGUGCAGGAGGUCUGCAUGUGCAGAGUUCACAGAGGGGCUGGAAACCCUGUUACAUGCAGAAGUACUUAAGCACCACUGCUGAAGAGGAACAUAACCAGCUGCUAAUAUCUGUGUGAUGCAGGAAUGCAAAAAGGAAAAACAGGUAUUUAUGAAGUCCUAAGGAAUUGUAAUGAAGAGUAAUGUAAUAAAAUGGAAUGAGAAGAAUUUGUGUCCGACCCUAGAAACAUCCCUUGCCAUCAAAAUACUUUAAAGUUUGGUGGAAUGUUCCAAAAAAAGCAAAAGCUACAGUGCUUGUGUUAGUUGUAACAGAGUGGACAAAGCAGAACACAGAACUGCUUCUUGGAGUAGAAAAAUGAACAAAUAAUUCAUUUCUGAUUUCUGUUUUUCUUAUUGUAGUCCAGCAUCUCAUGCCAGCACUCGCACAGGCACAUCUUUAUGCUAUUUACACACUGAAGGGAGUGUAUUCUGCCUUCAUUGUGUGGAGAACUUACACAUGUGACUCCCAUUACCACAAACAGAAACUAUGUUCAUAAAUUUCCCUUUUGUGUGUGGACUGAGUGGACCUGUCACUAUUUGCUUUUCCGGCUGGACUGCAAACAGUGCCUUUCCAAAGCAGAAGUUGUAAUAUUUUCAAACCUCAUGAAAAACAGUGUAGCCCAUCUCCUCUCAACUGUGAGAGCCAUCCAUGCUCUGAGGAUCAUCUGGCUGCCUAAAUCCAUGCCAGCAACAGAACACAAGCACAAGCACAGUCUAAUAGUCUUAAUGAGAUUACAGCUACAGAUGCCCCAGUGCUGCUGUCUGGCCAAGGAACAGAACAAGCAUCAAAUUCAUCUGGAGAAAAAAGAAAAAAAAAUCCCCUUAGCUUGCAUGUGAGUGGGUUGCAGUUUAACCAAGAUUUCAGAACUAUGGUGUGCCAGAUCCCUUUGAUUUUUUUUUUCCAAUGCAUAAUUGUU